UCUUUCUUUCUUUAAAGAAAAAAAUGAGUCUUUUGCAGUGAUAACAAAAGUCACAGUUCAGAUACUUGCCCUGUCUUACUUUCCAUCCUUUGCAGGCAUUUUUCACUUCAUAUACAGACCUGCGGUUCCCUUUCUUCUCAGCCCAACAAAACAGAAAGCAUAAUGAACCACUUUACACCAACCUUGUGAAAUUUGAGUGUAGAGCUUGCAUCUGGAGCACUGAGGUUGGAAGCAGGUGUACUGGAUUUGCGUGUGUGGGGGGUAUACUGGUAUCUGGCUCUGUGACACAGCAGUGGCUGCAAGGGAACUUAAUCUAUGCAUCCCAUCCCCAUAAAUAGAGCUGUCAGCCUGUGAUUUCCCCAUCUGCUCAUUUCUACAAGCUGCUAACGUGUUUACGUCCAUUCAGCCAGACCAGAGAACCAAGCAGAAGGCUCUCCUUGCUGGUGGACUGAAGAUAAGUACAGUGACUGCGGGAACAGCGAGACACUCAGUGGAAGAACAGGGGAAGAUACGCAGGAACCUGCUGAGAACAGGACCCUUCUGCUUGCCAUCCAGCAAGUCACUGGCCUGAGAAGUGUUUGUUUUCUAGGCAACCGCCAGGCAACACAGAGGAACAGCAGAUAGAUCCCCUACAACACACUUUCUCCAGGACUCCAAAUUCUUGUGUCAUUGACCCAACCCUUACCAGCCGCUUGCCAUUCUUAUGAACUAAGAAUCCUGAGCAUCC